CACCCCGAUGGCAUUUCCUCUUAAGCUGUCAGGAAAGAUACGAAGCCUAAAGCACAGUGACAGCUGUGGGGUGUAAACAGUACCUCCUCAGACGAGCAUGGGCCGCUGGGUAGAGGCAGCAGGGACGUAGCAACCACGGGGGGCGGUUCCUCCUUCCUGACUCCCCAGCCCAGAACAGAGAUCGGCUCUGGGGAGCAGGACGCACCAGGAGGGGUGAAGCUGGCCCAACCUGGGUGGUUCGUUGGAGCCCUCGCCCUCCAUCCCAAAGGAAGGAGAGUGGGGCUGAGGUGAGAGAGGAGACACUUCCUCCAGCGGUCCCCACAUGCUCAGCAUCACAGGACCACAAGAGCAGGAAUGACUGAGACAUGCCUGAGACCCCCACUGAGCUUAAGUCGCCCUUGCCCCUGCCCCCGCCCCCUCCCGGGGUUUGGAUCUACUCCUAGACCAAGGUCAGUGGCCAAGGACCCCUACAGAGGACCUCAGGAUGUGCGCAGCCUGGGCAAGACCGAGGAGAGCAGGAGCCACAGAGGUGACUCCCAGGGAAGAGCUUGGUUCGUUUGGGUAAGAGACAGCAACCAGAGACUGGAAUACUCACUCGAGAAUCUCCAAGGUCCUGUUCACAGCCAGGGCAUCCCCUAGCGCCUGGGCCCCCCGGGCACCAAUGGAGGCCACCUGCAGACUAUGCAGAAGAGAAGGGGUCAGUGCGGACAGGCUGGGGCGCUCCGGCCUGCACCCUGCCUGGCCCAGCUUCCAUGCGUCCUUGUCCUUCCUUCUCCACCCCUGGACUGAGGGCUGCAAGUGACAACAUAGUGCUGAAAACUGUUGGCCUGUGAUCCGUCCAGAGAACGCCGCGCCUCCGGCCUCCCCUGAUGCCGAGGACAGAGAUCGGGAUGCUACCGAUACGGGAAGCAGAGGUGGUUCCCUGGAGGGUUUGAGGAAAAACACUCCCUGAACCCCUACUUCUUACUUUGUCCCAAUUGCUAACAUUAGGAAAAUUUAACACCUUCUUGGCUGGGAAGCAACACUGAUGUUUGGUAUGAAAGCAGGGCUCAGGGCUGGCUGCCUGGGCGGCCGUGCACGUCAACACUUACUAGAGAGCGGUGAGGGCCGUGUUGGCCUUUAGUGCGCUGGCCAGUGCGGAGGCGCCCUCGUCCCCGAUGGCGUUCUCCUGCAAACUGAACACAGAGCGUGACCCCCGGGCUCACAGGGCACGGGGCUAGCGGCACUCCAUCAUGACGUCCUGAGCUUGGACCUUCUAGUUUUCAUUCAUACUGCGCACACCACAGACUAGACUCCCAGGGUUGCCGAGGGGAUAACCGACCCCGCGGCCUCCUAAUUAACAUGCAGAGGGCUCUGGGGUCUCUAUGAACCUGGAUCAUCAGAAGCAAACAAGAAAAGGGACAAGUGGAAAUACUCUCAAGGGUGAGGACAAAAAAAUGGGUGUGCCAGCCAGAGAAUUCAGUUGAAGCCCUUAGUCCCUGGCCAUUCUUGCUCGUCAGGGUUUUACAUCUUUUUUUUUUUUUUCCUUCCCUUCCACAUUGGAGUAAAGUCAGUUCCUAGCGCAGUAAAUGAUGGAGAGUUUACCUCGGGUGGGCAUUGGGGUGUUGAAGGGAGCAGUUUGCAUUCGCGAUUUUAGCAGACGUGUUAGUGUGUGUGGUGCCCUGGCCUGAUCCUGUCUCAGGUGGGCGGUUGUGACUGAACGAGCCGGCACCGUGGGCCACGUGCUGGGGGGACGGAGGAGCCCGUGGGGUCUCCUGCCCCCGUGUGGUCACGGAGGCCACCGGGAGAAAUAGGUCUGAACUGAAACCUGCAGGAUGAGAGUUGGGGGAGGGGGCCUGGCACAUCCACGGAACCCAAAGAAAUGGCAUCAAGUGGCUGGCGUGUGAAAUGACAGAAGCAGGCCUUUGGGGCCUUUGUUAGAAGCCACACCGAGGGGUGGGUUUCACUCUGCAGGCACUGGGCAGCCAUUGGAGCAUCUCGGGACGGGGACAGAUACACAUUUUGGAAAGAUGUUUGGCCAGCAGUGUGAGCGGAUGGACUGGAUGUGGAGGCUGCUACGGGGACGCAGGGUGAGUGGAGCUGGUGGCCUGACGGUGGCCGCGAGGGUAGAGGGAGAUGGUGGGGCCUUGGGAGGAGAGUCGCAAGUGGGAAGCGAGAACAGAGACGAUGUUUCUAGCUUGCAGGCCGGGUUGGCCGGGCCCGUUCGUGAGGCGGAGCUGAGAACAGACUCGUGGGGAGGCAGCGUGGGCAGUGAUUACGUGGGUCUGGGGCUCAGGAGAGAGGGGUCUAGAUGCGGGGGCACCGGGACUUUGAAGUCCAGGAGUGUGCGAGAGGACAGCUUCUGGAAUAGAGAGCUCGUUCGAGACAAGAUGGCCUAGAACAGAUCCCUGAGGAGCCCCAGGAUGUCAGUGCGACAGAAGAACCAGCCAGAAAUGGGCUAUCCUGGAUGCCAAGGGAGAAGCCAUGGGCGUGGUCCAAAGCAGGCGAGACUCAGACGGUUAGAGACAGGGUUCCCAUUCAACUCCGCGGCUCCACUGGCUCAUGUGCCCAAGAGAAAUGAAAGCGUAUGUCCAGGCAGAAGCUUGUACACGAACGUUCACAGCAGCGUUAUGAGAGCCAAACUGUCCAAACCACCCAGAUGUUCCUCGACAGAUGAGGGGAUAAAUGGCAUGUCAAUCUGCACAGCGGAAUAGGAUUCAGCCACAGAAAGGAAUGAAGCCCUGAUUCCUGCUGCAACCUGGGUGAACCUUGGAAACCUGAUACCGAACGAAAGACCUUGGUGGCAAGAGGUCACACGCCGUUCAGUCCCACGUACGUGAAGUGUCCAGUACAGGUGGUGAGAAUAUUGUGGAACUACAUAGAGGUGAUGAAGGAACAACUGUGAACGUACUAAGUGACACUGAAAUGUAUACUCUAAAGUGGUGAAUUUCACCCCAAUAAAAAUACAUAAAUGAAGAAACAGAUGACAGUACACACUCAACUAAGGAUGGGUACAACCACAUAUGACAACUCCUAAAAGGAGCACAGCAAACCAUAGGAACAUUCUAGAGAAUGGCACUUUCAGCGUCCUGGAAAACACCUCAGGAAAACAUCCUGACACCAUGGCCUUGGAUUUCCCAUUCGAUAGAAGACAAGAGGUGUUCCUCAUAGAUUAUUUUGCUUUUCCACCUCUAUACAACCGCAUCCUCCUUUUCCUCUAUCCCUGAAUUAGGCUGUACACACAAGGACAAUGAGCACAGAAGAACUGAAACCUGAAACUUGUAUAGAUACGAGAUCAUGUGGCAUCCACCUAGACAGGAGCCAGUAUAGCAUGCCUGCCAUUUUGAAUCAUCUCCCGCUCCAUGGUUGGUACCUGGGAGAGGGUUUUGUGGGCCCUCUGCUGGUUAUAUCGGGAUGUGGAGCAGAUGGCGCGUACCUCAAAAAGGCCAGAGUGCGGUUAAUCUUCAGAGCAUCUGCCAGAGCCUUGGCCCCUUGAGGUCCGAUGGAGUUACUGCGGAGGCUGGCGGGAAGAAGAGAGAGAAAGAACUGUUUUCUUUUAUCCAAUUCCCAGGGAGGAAAGAAAGAAGUUACACUGACCUUUAAAUCUAUGCUCUUUGAAAAUAACGGGGUUUAAGAUUUCAUGUUUUGUGGAGAUCCUUAUUCAGGUGAACAAGCUUGUGAUCCAAACCUCCCGGUUUCACCAGCAUCAUGAGGGCCUGGACGCAGGUGGAGAUGACGUGAGCCCUGGAGCAGAAUCACCCAGGCCAGGAAAGCCUCUGAGCCAAGUAAGAGGGAUUGCAUUUCUAUCUCUGGCUGCUAGCCCAAGGGGAUCCUGCUAAUAGCCGGCCCUCAUCCAGUGCUUCCUCUGUGCCUGGCCCGUCCUCACCGCUUGCCUUGAGUUAACCCACUGAAGCUGCUUCAACAACCGGAAGGGGGAAUGUGCAGGAAAGGGUUAACCGUGCCCCCAGUUCCGGAGAGGUGACCUCUGAACGCUUGGAAUGUCCUGCCUGAUAAGUCUGCCUGUGUUUACCUGGGGCCCUUGGGCCGUGCAGUAGCAGCCUGACGUCCCUACCUCCGGAGGGGCUUCCCAUGACCCACCUCCAGUAAAAUGUCUGGACCCAAGCCUGGGUGCGCCUCCCUGGUUGGAACGCUUCAAGUGUGCUGUUGCGCGUGGUGGCUGGGGGAGGCGGGCCCUGUCUGCACCACCACAGCGGAAGGACAACUGAAAGCUUGCCCCUGUCUCUCGGGCCCGCCUCAUGCACCCUUCCCUCUGCACAUUUAAAUCCGUAUCCUUUUGAUGUCCUGAGCCACAAGUGCAGGUACAACAGCUCUUCUGGGUUCUGUGAGUCCUUCUAGUGAAUCAUUAAACCUUUGGGGGGGUCCCGGAGACCCGAGACUCACAGAUACGUUUUAACCCCAUGUUUACACUCCUUUGGCACAGAGUUGACUGUACAGGGUCACACAGAGCCCACCGCUCGCCACUGUCUUCCGUGACUUCUUUUGGCUCCUGACUCACUCCGUGUUUGUGUUUGUUUUCUCAGAGAUUAUUCCUGAACCCAGAGGGAGGCUUAAGUGAGGACGAAGAAUUCCUCUCUGGAUCCUGUUCUCCAGACUCCUCUCCCUAUUUCUAACCACCCCCAGGUCACAAGCCCACUCCUCAGUGUUACUGAGACUUGGAAAUGUGAUCACAGGAGAUCUCACAAGCGCGAAACUCUAUUUUGCCGUCAGCACACAGACUUGUGUCUCAUCACACCAUUAAAGAGUCAAUGUUUAAAUUUUAUUUUUUUGUACUCGUUUAAAUAAAAGUUCAAAUUUAAAUCCAAAUUUUAAAUUAAAAAAAUUCUAAUUUAAUUUCUAGAGCCAAUCCUGUGCCUGUAAUACUGUUUUGAGGGCAAACAUUGAGAGGAGCUUAGAGAACAUCGUGCCUCGCAGUACUUCGGAACGUUGAGUAUCUGCGGAAAUGCUCCCAUGUCCACCAGAGCACCUGACCCUCACCAUAUCCCUUCCCUCUUCUUACAGGUGAGGGACCUGAGCCUCUGGAACUUUCCGGAAGGGGCAGAAACAAGCAGCCACGUGUUUCCAAGGCACCUCUCCUUGCAAGCGCCUCUGGCCGAUUGAGCAGAGAGGAGGACGGGAAAAUAGCCCUGGACCCCGUGCGACAGGUCCACGAGGGCUUUCACUUGCCCAGCCGGGGAGCCGGGGCCUCGGCCCUGGCCUGCCUCCCCGCCGGUCCGCACCUCCUGCUUCCUCAUGGGGUCCGCGAU